rnacentral:lncRNA from 1 species
CACCUGCAUUUUGGAGCUGCCUUAAGAAAUCAAAAGAGAUCAUGUUUGUACACAGCUUUAUUAACUUAAUAUUUAUUGUUUACAAACUUGUGACAUUAAUGCCCCACCUGCCCUGAACAACAGCUUGCCACUGGGCUACACUACUUCUUUUUUUUAAGUCAACAUUCGUUCAGAACAAUAGGCUUGAUAGCCAGAGAAAAUGCCACUCAAAAGUAUCAAAAAGAAAGGUGGAUAAUGAAAAUCGUAGUUUCAGGGAAGAAUGUACAGAGACAUAUGGGUUCACCUUACCAUCUUUUCCCAAUGCCAAGCCAGUGCAUCUUUUUCGAAAUGAAAAUGUUGCCGUUUUUUUUUACUGACAUUCUGUCACUUAAAAGCGUUAAAUCUCCAGUUACAAGAAAAAGGUUAAAACAGGCGUGGACAUGGUGGAACAACUUAAGGCCAUUCGUAGGAAACUUGAGUUGUUCGUUUUGUACUUGUCAUCUGGAAGGCUACUGCACUUCAGCACACUAAAGAAACGAGGGAACAGGUCGCAGCAUGGAUCAAGCAGUUGCGGAACAACUAAACCAGAUUUGAAGACUACAGCAUGCCCAAGGAUAUCAUUGCGUUUGUACAUGCUUCUCUCACAGUCCGCCCAGGUGGAGAAUUCUCGAUACCCUUGCUGGAUGCGGCCGUAAUUCAAACUGCGCUGAUUGAAUUCCAGACAUCGAGCUAAAAUCAGGGAUGUGUUUUGGGUGGCAUGCUCAGAGGAAUACAGCCAAUAAAGACACUUGCAUUUUAUGUGCUAACAAUGUUCGUAUCGACUUACACCUGCGAGUUCUCAUUUUCCUCUAUGAACGCAAUAUAGACUCAGGACAGGACCGGCUUUCACAUAAAUCAAUCGGAGGACUGCCUGCGCAUCAAGAUCACAUCCAUCUCACACGACAUCCACAAGAUCGUGUCCGAGGGGAAAUGAAACCCAUUGAGAGCAGGCUAUCCCGAUAGACAUUCAGACAUGGACAUCACCUUUUUUUUCUUUAAAUGAUUGUUUUAUGCCAGGGGCGGAAAUCCCGGGGGGGACGGGGGGGGACACGACCCCCCCAUCCUGGGAAAAAUAUGGUUUGUCCCCCCCAAUAUAUCACUGAAACAUAACUAUGUAAUUUAAAUAAUAUUAAUAAUACGCAAUGAAAGCAAUUGUGCUGAUUAUAGACACUUAAUAGCUCAUUUUUAAGUUUCAAAAGAUUGCGACCCCCCCCACCGUUUGCCUCAAAAUGGUUUGAUCCACU